UACGUAGGGUGCGAGCGUUGUCCGGAGUUAUUGGGCGUAAAGAGCUUGUAGGCGGUCUGUCGCGUCUGCUGUGAAAAUCCGGGGCUCAACCCCGGACUUGCAGUGGGUACGGGCAGACUAGAGUGUGGUAGGGGAGACUGGAAUUCCUGGUGUAGCGGUGAAAUGCGCAGAUAUCAGGAGGAACACCGAUGGCGAAGGCAGGUCUCUGGGCCGAUACUGACGCUGAGGAGCGAAAGCGUGGGGAGCGAACAGG
rnacentral:rRNA from 1 species